rnacentral:rRNA from 1 species
UACGUAGGGUGCAAGCGUUAAUCGGAAUUACUGGGCGUAAAGCGUGCGCAGGCGGUUUUGUAAGUCAGAUGUGAAAUCCCCGGGCUUAACCUGGGAACUGCGUUCGAAACUACAAGGCUAGAGUGUGGCAGAGGGGGGUGGAAUUCCACGUGUAGCAGUGAAAUGCGUAGAGAUGUGGAGGAACACCGAUGGCGAAGGCAGCCCCCUGGGUUAACACUGACGCUCAGGCACGAAAGCGUGGGGAGCAAACAGG